AUGAAGUUUGCGGAUGACACAAAGCUGGGAGGGGUUGCAAGAGCUUUGGAGGAUAGGAUUAAAAUUCAAAAUGAUCUUGACAAACUGGAGAAAUAGUCU